CACGUAGGCGGUUGGGUAAGCCUCUUGGGAAAGCUCCCGGCUUAACCGGGAAAGGUCGAGGGGAACUACUUAGCUAGAGGACGGGAGAGGAGCGCGGAAUUCCCGGUGUAGCGGUGAAAUGCGUAGAUAUCGGGAAGAAGGCCGGUGGCGAAGGCGGCGCUCUGGAACGUACCUGACGCUGAGGUGCGAAAGCGUGGGGAGCAAACA
rnacentral:rRNA from 1 species